GACGAACGCUGGCGGCGUGCUUAACACAUGCAAGUCGAGCGGUAAGGCCCUUCGGGGUACACGAGUGGCGAACGGGUGAGUAACACGUGGGUGAUCUGCCCUGCACUUCGGGAUAAGCCUGGGAAACUGGGCCUAAUACCGGAUAGGACCCUGGGAUGCAUGUCCUGGGGUGGAAAGCUUUUGCGGUGUGGGAUGGGCCCGCGGCCUAUCAGCUUGUUGGUGGGGUGAUGGCCUACCAAGGCGACGACGGGUAGCCGGCCUGAGAGGGUGACCGGCCACACUGGGACUGAGAUACGGCCCAGACUCCUACGGGAGGCAGCAGUGGGGAAUAUUGCACAAUGGGCGCAAGCCUGAUGCAGCGACGCCGCGUGAGGGAUGACGGCCUUCGGGUUGUAAACCUCUUUCAGCACCGACGAAGCGCAAGUGACGGUAGGUGCAGAAGAAGGACCGGCCAACUACGUGCCAGCAGCCGCAGUAA
rnacentral:rRNA from 1 species